UACGUAGGGUGCGAGCGUUAAUCGGAAUUACUGGGCGUAAAGCGUGCGCAGGCGGUUUCAUAAGACAGACGUGAAAGCCCUGGGCUCAACCUGGGAACUGCAUUGGAUACUGGCAAGCUAGAGUACGGUAGAGGAAGGUGGAAUUCCCGGUGUAGCGGUGAAAUGCGUAGAGAUCGGGAGGAACAUCUGUGGCGAAGGCGACCUUCUGGACCAGUACUGACGCUGAGGCACGAAAGCGUGGGGAGCAAACAGGAUUAGAUA
rnacentral:rRNA from 1 species